CUUCUUCUAAAUUUGUCUCU
rnacentral:snRNA from 1 species